AAUCAACGCUGGCGGCGUGCCUCAGACAUGCAAGUCGAACGAUUAAGACUCCCUUCGGGGAGUGUAUAAAGUGGCGCACGGGUGAGUAACACGUAAGUAAUCUACCUUCGAGUGGGGAAUAACGUCCGGAAACGGACGCUAAUACCGCAUAAUGCAGCGGCAUCUAAUGAUGACAGUUGUUAAAGAUUUAUCGCUUGAAGAGGAGCUUGCGGCAGAUUAGCUAGUUGGUAAGGUAAUGGCUUACCAAGGCUACGAUCUGUAACCGGUCUAAGAGGACGGUCGGUCACACUGACACUGAAUAACGGGUCAGACUCCUACGGGAGGCAGCAGUCGGGAAUUUUGGGCAAUGGGCGAAAGCCUGACCCAGCAACGCCGCGUGAAGGAUGAAGUAUUUCGGUAUGUAAACUUCGAAAGAAUGGGAAGAAUAAAUGACGGUACCAUUUAUAAGCUCCGGCUAACUACGUGCCAGCAGCCGCCGCCG
rnacentral:rRNA from 1 species